rnacentral:rRNA from 1 species
AUGGAUUCCUCCGCCGGUGGCGGCGGCGUGGAGCCGGCCCGGUCGCUGGAGAUCGCUGCCAGGCUCCUCGCCGCGCGCGACCUGGUCGGCUGCAAGCGCUUUGCGGAGCAUGCGGUGGACGCCGACCCCCUCCUCCCCGGCGCCGACGAGCUCCUCGCCGUCGCCGACGUCCACCUCGCCGCCCAGCGCCUCCUCCCCUCCGGCCGCCCCGAUCCCCUCGCCAUCCUCCAGCUCCAGCCCAACCCCGACAGCGCCGACGUCAAGCGGGCCUUCCGCCGCCUGGCCAACCUCCUCGCCCCUCGCCGCAAUCCCCACCCCGGCGCCGACACCGCCCUCCGCGCCGUUGAAGAAGCCUUCGCCCACCUCUCCGAGAGCACCUCCACCGGCGCCGCCCCCGCUCCUGCUGCUCCCGGCGGCGCCUCUGCCGCAGAAGAUACGUUCUGGACGGUCUGCCCCCACUGCUGCCAUGUGCACCAGUACGAGCGCCUGCUGGUGGGCCGCUCGCUCAUGUGCGCGAGCGCCGGGUGCCGGCGACCGUUCGUGGCCACCGAGCUCCCGGCUGCUCCGCCUAUUGUGCCCGGCACCGACUUUUACUACUGCGCCUGGGGUUUCAUCCCAAUGGGUUUUCCUAAGCCCGCUGAUCUGUGCACUGACUGGAAGCCAUUCUUCCCGAUGCCACGGGAUUCAUCUGCUCCACAGCCAGCAUCUCAGCCAGCACCUACGGAUAAUUUUGGUAAGCAGAAUGUUGGGAAUAAUGUUGGAGUUGGACAUACUAAUGCCAAUGCACCGCCAUCAAAUGCACAUCCUGGGAAUAAGAGUGCUGGUGGUGGCACUGUGGCAGGGCCGCCUAGAGGUAAAAUCAAGAAGACAGCAGCCCGCAAGAAGGUUGGGGGAGGCCUCAAAAAGCAUGCUUCUGGCGGUGUGGAGAGCGGCAUUGAGCCAUCUUUGCUUGGGCCUGAUUGGAGUGAAAAUGCAGAGGGUGGACACACUGAGAAUUCAAGAGGAAUUAACAUAAAUGAGGUGGCAAAGGCAACUGAUGACAGCAUGAUGUUGCAUUUUGGUGCGGAUGGGGACAUUGGGUUUGAUUUGGAUGUUGAUGCAUCAGAUGAUAUAAUGGAGAAUUUGCCUGACCUGCCGUUCCUGAGGGAAGAUGACAAUUCCAGGAGGAUGUUUUAG